AUGGCUCAGGAUGAACGCUAGCGGCAGGCUUAACACAUGCAAGUCGAGGGGCAGCGGGGAGGAAGCUUGCUUUCUCCGCCGGCGACCGGCGCACGGGUGAGUAACACGUAUGCAACCUGCCCCUGUCAGGGGGACAACCCGCCGAAAGGCGGGCUAAACCCGCGUACAUGCCACCGGGGCAUCCCGGAGGCAGGAAAGGCUUCGGCCGGACAGGGAUGGGCAUGCGGCGCAUUAGGCAGUAGGCGGGGUAACGGCCCACCUAACCGACGAUGCGUAGGGGUUCUGAGAGGAAGGUCCCCCACACUGGUACUGAGACACGGACCAGACUCCUACGGGAGGCAGCAGUGAGGAAUAUUGGUCAAUGGUCGGGAGACUGAACCAGCCAAGCCGCGUGAGGGAGGAAGGUACAGAGUAUCGUAAACCUCUUUUGUCAGGGAACAAAGACUGGGACGCGUCCCCGGAUGAGUGUACCUGAAGAAAAAGCAUCGGCUAACUCCGUGCCAGCAGCCGCGGUAAUACGGAGGAUGCGAGCGUUAUCCGGAUUUAUUGGGUUUAAAGGGUGCGCAGGCGGUCUGUUAAGUCAGCGGUCAAAGCCCGGGGCUCAACCCCGGCCCGCCGUUGAAACUGGCAGUCUCGAGUUGGAGAGAAGUAUGCGGAAUGCGCGGUGUAGCGGUGAAAUGCAUAGAUAUCGCGCAGAACUCCGAUUGCGAAGGCAGCAUGCCGGCUCCACACUGACGCUGAGGCACGAAAGCGUGGGUAUCGAACAGGAUUAGAUACCCUGGUAGUCCACGCAGUAAACGAUGAAUGCUGGCUGUCCGGGGGGACUGACCCCUGGGUGGCGAAGCGAAAGCGAUAAGCAUUCCACCUGGGGAGUACGCCGGCAACGGUGAAACUCAAAGGAAUUGACGGGGGCCCGCACAAGCGGAGGAACAUGUGGUUUAAUUCGAUGAUACGCGAGGAACCUUACCCGGGCUCAAACGGGGAGUGACUCAGGCAGAGACGCCUGUUUCCCACGGGACACUCCCCGAGGUGCUGCAUGGUUGUCGUCAGCUCGUGCCGUGAGGUGUCGGCUUAAGUGCCAUAACGAGCGCAACCCCCGCGUGCAGUUGCUAACAGAUAACGCUGAGGACUCUGCACGGACUGCCGGCGCAAGCCGCGAGGAAGGCGGGGAUGACGUCAAAUCAGCACGGCCCUUACGUCCGGGGCGACACACGUGUUACAAUGGGUGGUACAGCGGGAAGCCAGGCGGCGACGCCGAGCGGAACCCAAAAUCCACUCUCAGUUCGGAUCGGAGUCUGCAACCCGACUCCGUGAAGCUGGAUUCGCUAGUAAUCGCGCAUCAGCCAUGGCGCGGUGAAUACGUUCCCGGGCCUUGUACACACCGCCCGUCAAGCCAUGGGAGCCGAGGGCGCUUGAAGUGCGUCGCCGCGAGGCGCGCCCUAGAGCGAAAUCGGUGACUGGGGCUAAGUCGUAACAAGGUA
rnacentral:rRNA from 1 species